UACGAAAAAAGCUAGCGUUGUUCGGAAUUACUGGACGUAAAGCGUGCGUAGGCGGCUUUGUCAGUCAGAGGUGAAAUCCCAAAACUCAACCUCGGAAUUGCCUUUGAUACUACGAAGCUUGAAUGCGAGAGAGGGUGGUGGAAUAUCCAAUGUAGAGAUGAAAUUCGUAGAUAUUGGAUGGAACACCAAUAACGAAGGCGGCCACCUGGCUCGUUAUUGACACUGAAACACGAAAGCAUAAAAAGCAAACAGG
rnacentral:rRNA from 1 species